GCUUAGCUCAGUUGGCAGAGCAAGAGACUCUUAAUCUUAGGGUUGCAGGUUCGAGCCCCAUGUUGAGCA